UACGUAGGGUGCAAGCGUUGUCCGGAAUUAUUGGGCGUAAAGAGCUCGUAGGCGGUUUGUUGCGUCGGCUGUGAAAUCCCGAGGCUCAACCUCGGGUCUGCAGUCGAUACGAGCAAACUAGAGUGUUGCAGGGGAGACUGGAAUUCCUGGUGUAGCGGUGAAAUGCGCAGAUAUCAGGAGGAACACCGGUGGCGAAGGCGGGUCUCUGGGCCGUAACUGACGCUGGAG
rnacentral:rRNA from 1 species